CGGAACGGGCGAUUAGGCAAUUUGCCCAUUUAUCAAAAACACGCGGAUCCUCCCUGGGUCAUCAGGGCAACGCGUGAAUCCUCCUUGGAAUGACGCCGUUUUAAAGCUUAUUAUUUUAAGCAAACGACGUCGUUUUUGUUGGAUUAUAUAAGCUAAAACUUAGGCCUAAAAUUCAUUUAGCAAUCAGUCCUAAAAAAAAAUUUUAGAAUCCUCUGAAAGAGGAGGAAAAGGGGCUCUCCGGCCCCGGCCUCAGGCCUCCGGCCACUGGACUGCGAAUGCCCACGCACUGUACGCGCCGCCGUGUACGGCGGUGGAAAGGCUGAAAGCCCUCCUUCCUCUUGGCCAAACGCAGGUAAUCUCUUCUUUCUUAUUGUUAACACUAUUUACAUGCAAAAAAGAAAGGAAUAGAGCAAAUAAAUCACCUCUGUUUUUUUGUAUGAAAACUACCUAUUUUUUAUUUCUGUAAAUAUAUGCGUAUAUCUCUUUUGUAUAUCUUUUGUUUGUGGUCGUCUGAAAAAAAAUCCGUAAAACAAAAGCCCCCCUUUUCUGUUUACAUCGUUUGAUUUUUUAUAACCGAUUUAAAAAAUAGAAACAAAUCAACAAAUUCCUCUUGCCAUAUUUGCUGUUUCUUUCUUUCCUUUUGCAGGUUAACGGCGCGAAUCACGGCGACGGUGAAGGAAUUGAUAGCGGCUCGAUACGAGGUCUGCGGAUACUUGCGGCGCUGAAAGGUGCAGAAAACCUAGGGUUCCUGACCUAGGGUUAAGCAUUUGGGCCUUCGGGAUGCAGCUUAUUGGGUCUUAGGAGUAGGCUAAUCGGGUUGUAACCGGGUACUGGGUUUUGGGUAGUUUAGCUGGGUCAGGGGUAGGAUUAGUCUGCUGGGCUUUGGGUUAAUGUGAUUGGGCCUGUAAAUGGACUGUAAUAAAAUAAACUUUUAUUUAUUUUAUUAUUUUUUUGGGUUUUAUUUAAUUAUGGGCCCGGUCAAAUUUGGGCUAUUACAAUAAUCAUUCUAUAUACUAUCAAUAAAAUAAAAAAAUUACAGAAUAACUUAAGAUAUUGUCGCCUAA
rnacentral:lncRNA from 1 species